rnacentral:sRNA from 1 species
GUGCGCUGGAUUAUGACU